AUUGCAAAGAAAAAACCAGUGCCUAAGUUGAAUGCAGACGACUUGCAAAAAAUGAAGAGCCUUUUUUCUAGAGCAAACCCAGGUGUGAAAGUACCAAAGCGCUUUAGGUUGUUGUAUAAACACGCAACAAGUUAUAUGCAAGCUACUGGAGCCUCGAUACAAAUCCCUUGUGAUGCUUAGGUUUUUGGACGUCCAAUAACAAUUUAUUUGUUGAAUGAGAAUGUGGUAGCUUUGCUCGAGUUUCAGAUGAUUGGUCAAGCAGUGAUAACAACCUUUAUGCUGUAAGUAAUAUAAUUUUUUUUGUUUUUCUAUUCUGCAACGAGAGGUAUAUAUUGGAUUCUAAUGCAAAUUUUAUAUCUUAGGCACUUGCAUAUUGAGUUAAGUAAUUCUAAGGAUAUAGAG
rnacentral:lncRNA from 1 species